GGUGAACGCUGGCGGCGUGCCUAAUACAUGCAAGUCGAGCGAACGGACGAGAAGCUUGCUUCUCUGAUGUUAGCGGCGGACGGGUGAGUAACACGUGGAUAACCUACCUAUAAGACUGGGAUAACUUCGGGAAACCGGAGCUAAUACCGGAUAAUAUUUUGAACCGCAUGGUUCAAAAGUGAAAGAAGGUCUUGCUGUCACUUAUAGAUGGAUCCGCGCUGCAUUAGCUAGUUGGUAAGGUAACGGCUUACCAAGGCAACGAUGCAUAGCCGACCUGAGAGGGUGAUUGGCCACACUGGAACUGAGACACGGUCCAGACUCCUACGGGAGGCAGCAGUAGGGAAUCUUCCGCAAUGGGCGAAAGCCUGACGGAGCAACGCCGCGUGAGUGAUGAAGGUCUUCGGAUCGUAAAACUCUGUUAUUAGGGAAGAACAUAUGUGUAAGUAACUGUGCACAUCUUGACGGUACCUAAUCAGAAAGCCACGGCUAACUACGUG
rnacentral:rRNA from 1 species